rnacentral:rRNA from 1 species
GAUGAACGCUGGCGGCGUGCCUAAUACAUGCAAGUCGAGCGAACAGACGAGGAGCUUGCUCCUUUGACGUUAGCGGCGGACGGGUGAGUAACACGUGGGUAACCUACCUAUAAGACUGGGAUAACUUCGGGAAACCGGAGCUAAUACCGGAUAAUAUUUCGAACCGCAUGGUUCGAUAGUGAAAGAUGGCUUUGCUAUCACUUAUAGAUGGACCUGCGCCGUAUUAGCUAGUUGGUAAGGUAACGGCUUACCAAGGCAACGAUACGUAGCCGACCUGAGAGGGUGAUCGGCCACACUGGAACUGAGACACGGUCCAGACUCCUACGGGAGGCAGCAGUAGGGAAUCUUCCGCAAUGGGCGAAAGCCUGACGGAGCAACGCCGCAUGAGUGAUGAAGGUCUUCGGAUCGUAAAACUCUGUUAUUAGGGAAGAACAAACGUGUAAGUAACUGUGCACGUCUCGACGGUACCUAAUCAGAAAGCCACGGCUAACUACGUG